GAUGAACGCUGGCGGCGUGCUUAACACAUGCAAGUCGAACGGUGAAGCAGGAGCUUGCUCUUGUGGAUCAGUGGCGAACGGGUGAGUAACACGUGAGCAACCUGCCCCUGACUCUGGGAUAAGCGCUGGAAACGGCGUCUAAUACUGGAUAUGUGAUGUGACCGCAUGGUCUGCAUCUGGAAAGAAUUUCGGUUGGGGAUGGGCUCGCGGGCUAUCAGCUUGUUGGUGAGGUAAUGGCUCACCAAGGCGUCGACGGGUAGCCGGCCUGAGAGGGUGACCGGCCACACUGGGACUGAGACACGGCCCAGACUCCUACGGGAGGCAGCAGUGGUGAGUAUUGCACAAUGGGCGGAAGCCUGAUGCAGCAACGCCGCGUGAGGGAUGACGGCCUUCGGGUUGUAAACCUCUUUUAGCAGGGAAGAAGCGAAAGUGACGGUACCUGCAGAAAAAGCACCGGCUAACUACGUGCCAGCAGCCGCAGUAA
rnacentral:rRNA from 1 species